rnacentral:tRNA from 1 species
GCCUCGGUAGUGUAAUGAAUUAGCACGGCAGACCGGAUAUCUGUAAGUGCGGGUUCGAGCCCCGCAUGAGGGU